CGGCGGACGGGUGAGUAACACGUGAGCAACCUGCCUAUGACAGUGGGAUAGCCUCGGGAAACCGGGAUUAAUACCGCAUAAAAUCGUAGAAACACAUGUUUUAACGGUCAAAGAUUUAUCGGUCAUAGAUGGGCUCGCGUCUGAUUAGCUAGUUGGUGAGAUAACAGCCCACCAAGGCGACGAUCAGUAGCCGGUCUGAGAGGAUGAACGGCCACAUUGGAACUGAGACACGGUCCAA
rnacentral:rRNA from 1 species